rnacentral:miRNA from 1 species
UAGGAGCUCAACAGAUGCCUGUU